rnacentral:miRNA from 1 species
CUCUAUUACCCGUAUGAAGAGAC